rnacentral:miRNA from 1 species
GAUUUCAGUGGAGUGAAGCUCA